AAUCCGCCUGCUGCUCAGGGCCCUCCUCAGGGUGCCCAGCUCUCCACCAGCGGCUCCAUCGUCGGCUUGGGACGCAGAUGGCCUCAGAGGUCACCACCGGGGAGCGCAGGGAGGGGUCCACUGAGUGUCCAGGUCCUUGGGGGCCGCUCAGGGCUCGGCUGCCCUUCAUUCCCCCGCUGUGCUCACACACCCAGUGCUCACCCGCUGCAUCAGAACCCUGCUCCGCAGGAUACGGCCCUGCCGUCCUGCGGACGCUGCGUCCCCAGCGCCCACAGCAGAAACCGAGGGUUGUUGGUGCCGCGGUGGUCGAUGUCAUGGCACAGGCCGGCUGUCACCAUGGCGAAGGCCUCCAGGAGGGCCUGCACAACCCUGGUGAUUCUGGCAGCCACGUACCAUGAGCAGCGUGAACAUCGUCUGGGCCACGUUGAAGCCGUGGCGCCAGUUGUGGUAGGUGAUUCUCCGGUACCCUUUGCUGAUGGAGAACAGGAACCGCACCAGGACCUGGGGGAGCCGAGAGGACACAGGGCUCCGGCGGCAAGCGUGUAAGUCCCGCCAGAGCGGCACCUGUGGCUGACUUCACAGUGGAAGCCCUGCUCCGUGCCAUCAUCCCCACACCGUCUCCUGGACUUCCCGAUCUUCCCCAUCCCUGCGUUUCCCACUGGCCUCUGCUGGCCUUCCUGGGUAGGGGCUGCCACAUUGGCACCUAUGGGGUGGAGCCAGGUAGGGCAGGAGCUGAGAACAGCCCCAGCCUUCAGGGGCCGCCCAGCCUCCAUCCGACUGCCUGGCCUCAAGCUGGGAGGAGGACCCCUGGGGAUGCAGCAUAUUUUAAGAUGUUGGUUUUAGGCAUGGACAUUUGAAUGAGCAGAAUGUGUGGGCUGCAGGCUGGGGUGGGAGAACCGAUGUCCGCAGGGCAAGAGAAUGCUGGUCUCUCUUGCCCUGCGGACAUCGCCAGGAGGCUCUUCCUGCGGCCAUUGUGAUUUUUAGGGUCAGAAAAUUAUUUGGAAAUAUUUUUUAUUCUGCAAAUAUUUUCUAUACAUUUUUUCUUGAGUGUUUUCCCUUAGUAUUUAGUAAAACUUCUUUUGAAAAUGCUGGCCUGCUGCACCUGUUCUCAGAGGGGCAUGAGAAAAGAGGAUUCUCUUCCUAGGGCUGUGGGAAGCCCCUUGAGAUGUUGGAAGCAGGGCAGGGCAGGAGAACCCAGGGAGGGCACAGAGCUGUGGACGAGGGCUGGGAAAGCCAUCCCGCCUCCCCAGGGGGUCUCCGAGGAGUGCUGCUGUGGCCAAACCAGGGGGGCCACUUUGUGCUUUCUGUUUAGGUGAUGGGAUGCUUCUAUCUCCUCAGCACCCCACACCAAAUCCCCUGUUAUUGCCAGAUGAUGUGCCUAAUGAUCAAAUUGCUUGGAACUCCUAAUAAUAAAACUUUAAAUCUAUCCAUUCACCAUCCAUCUGCUGUCCACCCAUCCAUUCACCCAUUCAUUGACCCAUCUAUUAAUUCAUUAAUUGACCCACCUACUCAUCUAUCACUCAUCCACCCACUUCUCCAUCCAUCCACCUAUCCAUUCACUUAUCCAACCAUCUAACUACCAUUGGCCCACUCACCCAUCCAUCCAUUUAUCCAACCAUCCAACUACCAUUGGCCCACCCACCCAUCCAUUUAUCCAACUAUCCAACUACCAUUGGCAUCCACCCAUCCAUUCAUUUAUUCUUCCUUUGUUUCUUUCUGCUUGCCUGUUGGCCUUCCUUCCUUCCUAACCUCCCUCCUUCCUCCCUGCUUUUCACCCAUCCAGCCAUCCAUCAAUCCAGCCAUCCACCCAGCCAUCCAAUUAUUUGUUUUAUGCUUACUUCCCGUGUGCAUUUUACCUGUUCUGUGAUGAACAUGUCGGCCCUCUAAACUUCCUGUGGGAUCUGGAACCCCCAAUCCCAUCCCCCUCACCUUCUGGGGCACCUGAGGCCCUGAUCACAUCCCCACCCCCAUGUCCUGGGCGGCCUCAGGGACCUGACUAUGCGCCCUGCGGUGUCUCCCACCUCCUGGGGGAUCUGGAACUUUCGGACCACGCCCAGCUCGUAGUACAUCUGGAUGCCACAUUUGACCAGGUCCAGUUCGGUGCACUCCAGAUCCCCUGCCAAGCCUCAGACACCUCAGGCAUCUCUGAGGAGAUGUGUCAUUCCUGGCGCUCCAGCCUGUAUCCCAGGCUGCUCACACGCCCCCCUGGCUCAGCCUCACUCUCCCCUCUUGUACCCUGUGGCCCAACAGUGAAGAACUUGCCCAGUUGGGUGGACAGGGUGAUGUUGUUGAGACAAGAAAACACAAAGGUGUGCACAUGAAAAGAAACACACACACACACGGAUACAGACACACGUGACACAGGCACACCUGGAUACACGGCCACUCCCAUGAAUACAAAGGCACCGGUGUGGACACACAGGCACACACAUGAGCACCCAGGCACACCCACAGACAUGCAGGCACACACGUGCAGACUCACGCAUGUAGGCUCACACACACAGCCAUGAGGUAACACACACAACAGUGGACUUUCAGACCCACCAGGCACAUUCCCAUGCUCAGUCCAAGGCCUACUCACAAGGCUCGUGGCCCCGGGAGAUUCUGGCUAAAUUGCAUAGGCAGACACAGGGUGAUGGGGACACCACAUAAUCCCCACAUUGAUCCAGCAAUCGUCUCUAGGAGACACACACAAGCAUGUGUCUAUAUAUAUCCAUGUGCACACACAUGCACACACAAUACACACCCCCUGUGCACAUGUGAGCACACACACAUGGGUGCACACACGGGCACACACACACAAACGCCCAUGUGCACACACAUGCACACACAUACUCGUGGGCACACAUGUGCACACACAUGUGUACACAUGUGCACAUUCAUACAAUGCACACACGCACACACAUACCCACAUGUGCACACACACACCCACAUGUGCACACAUGUACACACCUGUGCAGACGCCCACGUGUGCACACACACCUACAUGCACACACACGUACACACUUGUGCACACACAGACACCCACAUGUGCACACACAUGCACACAGACACCCAUGUGCGUGCACACAUGCGGAUGCACACACACUGGGAGUUGCAGGCACCUAGGCACUCUGAGAGCAGAGAUGACAUAGAUGGACACAGAGUCCAAGUCAGGCCCACUAAACAUCCGGUGAAAACUAAACAUCUGGCAAAGCACAGAGGAGACAGGAAGACACGAAGAUACACUCAGGAGUGCAGACAUCAAAGCCACAUUCUGGCCAUGCAAACACACUCAGGGACACACUGGCUGAGACUGAAAGCCAGGCUUAUGUACACACACGUACACUAAGGUGCUUAGAUACACAAGUAUACACACACAGCACCAACAUCCCUGAUGACCGUGUGUGCAAAGCACCGUCGGGUCCCGGAGAAUGCAGAACUCUUCCUCCCAGCCUCACACGUGGCCGGCCUCCAUGGGAGGGACGGGAGCAAGGUUCUUACCAGGAUUUCGCCCAGCUCGUCCUCAUCGCAGUCAGCAGGCUCCUUCCCCAGGCGCGCUCUGGUUGGCUACACAGAGACACAGAUGUGUCACGAGAAAGAGCUUCGCAUGUGGGACAAGGUGACGGCGGUGCGUCCACCCCGUGUGAGCUAGAGGAAGGUGCUGUCAAGAGCUUGUGCUUUCACCCUGGGAAGGCCCUGGCGGCCUCUGAUCUGGAGACAAAUGACCGUGUGCAUGGCCUGCUGACUUUCCCACCUGUCCUCUCUCGGGCACUGCCUUACGCAGUCCUCAGAGCCAUGACCUCUGGGUGACCCCUGGAUGGACCCCUGGACGACCUGCCCCCACCACACAGCCGUGACCCCUGGAUGACCUGCCCCCACCGCACAGCCAUGACCCCUGGCCGAGACCCCUGGGUGACCCCUGGACGACCUGCCCCUGCCACACAGCCGUGACCCCUGGGUGACCCCUGGACGUCCUGCCCCGCCGCACCAGGAUGAGCUGGAUCUCGUCCCUGUCGCACUUCACGUGGUAAAGGACCAUGUCCUGUGCGAUGUCCUUGCGGUUCUCCAGCUUGUUCAUCUUGUCGUAGGUGUCGGUGUUCAUCACUGACCAGCCCAGGAACUGUGUCAGGGACUGGAGGGGAUGGCAGUGUCACUGGCGCUCAGCGCUCCCGGCGCGCCCCCUCCCAUGUGCCUGUGUGCCAGGCCCCGUGGCUCGGCGGGCAGGUCCUGGGGCUGCCACCAUGGUGUCGCAGUGCUUCUGUGUGGGGUCUCCCGGGUGCUCUGCAGAGGCUCCUGCUCCCGGGGGGGCCCUUUGUCGUCCUCUCCCUGGCCGCAUGCAUACCGCACACACAUGAGCACACGCACACAGCCGAAUGCUUGGCGGGGAGGCCCCCACACCGCACAGGCCCCACCCCUCGCAGGGCAUCCCCGGCGGAACCACGUCUGCCCAGGUGCUUACCUCCAUGAGAACCUCGUCCUGUUCGUCAAAGGGCUUCCCGUCUUUCCUGUUGUAAAAUGUGGCGACUCCCACAAUCUCCUCCUUCUUGUUGACGAUGGGCAUGGACAGCACAUUCUUGAUGAGCCACCCGGAGUCGUCCAGGGCCCCUUCCUGCGGGAGCGGUGUCCAGAGCUGAGCUCCGCCCUGAGGCUGGCCCUGGCCCGGGCGUGUGGCCGGGGAGAGUGACCUCAUGUCUUCUCCCCUAGAGCCGUGACGGCUGGGCUCGUGUUCCUGUCUCUGCUCUCUGCAUUCCCUCUCUCCCUCUCUGCAUUUGGAGUUUGUGUCCAUGGUUUUUGUGUCAUGAUAUUUUCCCACCGGAGGAGGUAGAGGCCGUUUUCCCACCAGGAGUGGUUUCAUGGGCAUGUGUGUGGGGCGGCGGUCACGGCCUCGCAGGGGUGUGUGGGGGCCGCGGUCACGGCCUCGCAGGGGUGUGUGGGGGCCGCGGUCACGGCCUCGCAGGGGUGUGUGGGGGCCGCGGUCACGGCCUUGCGGGCGUGUGUGGGGGCUGUGGUCACAGCCCCAGGUGAUCCACCCGCCUCAGCCUCCCAAAGUGCUGGGAUUACAGGCGUGAGCCACCAUGCCUGGCUGAAGUUGUUUUUUAAGUGGCAAAAACGAAUUCACUUCAUCAUCGCUGAAUCAAAAUCUCCUCUUUUGUAAGUAAGUAUAAUUUCUACCAAGGCACAGACAGAUACCUGAAAUUUGAACAUUUCGUCAGCGGAAGCAUUCAUGAUGUUACAAAUCUGAAAAAGCAUCAGAAAAACGAUUUCAUCCAAAACAGCGGAAGGUCUGUUAUGAUCUAAAAUGGCCUCUGUGGCCCUGAGGUGAGCUUUUAAGUAGGUAAAGCAGGGCAGCUGGGGGCUUCACUGAGGCACGUGGAGCUGGCCGGGAGGGCGGGACGUGGCAGAGACAAGGAGAAGCACACAUCGCCGCACCCAGUGAGGGCAAGGCUGUGGGGACUCCAGACAGCACGGGACUCACAAAGCCGCUUUCUGCCACGUAGCUUGGAAGGCCGCUGGCCAGGGCCCAGUGAUCGGCUGAGGGUGUGCUGUGGGCAGAGAGCAGGGGUCAGAUAGGCCACGCCGGGCUGGAUGUGCGCGUGCAGGAGUCAGAGGGACUGGAUGUCUGUGUGCAGGGGUGAGAGGGGCUGGUCUAGGCUGCACGUGUGUGUGCAGGGGUCAGAGGGGCUGGUCUGGGCUGCACGUGUGUGUGCAGGGGUCAGAGGGGCCAGGCUGCGCUGGAUGUAGGUGUACUGGGGUCAGAUGGACUGGGCGUGUGUGCAGGGGUCUGGGGGUCUCUGGCUCAUGUGCCAUCCUCAGCAUUUACUCUCUUCUCUGAGUGCCAGGGGGUUCAGGAGGCGAGGAGGCCAGGGCGUGGGUUGGAGGACGGCUGUGCUGCCUUCUUCCUCCUCCCCAGGCUGCCGUGCUGGGGCCCCUCCCUCUUGGGAACCCCUCCCUCUCCGGAGGCCGUAUGGCUUCAGCCUGCUUUCUAGGACUCAGCGUUGGUGCCUGCCCUGCCACCCUGACCCUGACUUGUGCUCAAGCCUGGCACCUGGAUCCUGGUUCCUGCUUGGGGCCUGGGGAUGGGGUCCCAAUAGGCUUAUGGGAUCACAGGGCCACUGGGCCACCAGCUGCCCCUCCCUUGGCUGGAGUCCUGCCCUGACCUCCGGACUGGAGUUCCCCUCCUCUUCCAGCCCCACGGGGCCAAGACUCGGCCUCCUGGCUGGAGGCUCCACUGUCUGGGUGGGGCUGGUGGUGCCAGGGUCAAAUCCUGGGGCCUUCAUGCUCAAUUGUUGCUGACGAGGCCGCCUGGACAGCUUGCCUGGUCCCCUGUAUGUCCACUCUGGAUGUCCACAGUGACUCGGGCUCCUCAGCAGCCCACGUCCUCCUCACCAUCUCCCAGAACAGAGGCCCACGGAGUACCGCUCGCAGUUGAGGUAGGCCCGCACCGUGUAGAAGGCCUUGUGGAACUGCCUCUCGAUGUCCGUCAGCUCCUCAAACACCUUGUUGGCCGACCACAGCAGCACCUGGAGGGAGGGGCACACCUGUGGGCCUGUGGCCACUCCCACCCUCACGCCGGUCUGACCACAGCAGCAGGGGUUUAACUCAAGCCUGACACAGGUUUCAUCUGAGCUUGUGGGGCCCGGGAGCUGGCUGGCGGUGAGGCCUCGAGGCUGCGGUCGUGUCCCUGAUCACUCAGGAGUGGACGAGUGGAAAGUGGAAUCUGUCGCUUUGAGCUUGACAGGCAAACAUCCGACCAGCCCUUCCUCCGCCCGGCUGCUCCAGAACCACCUGCGGCGAGCAGGGCUUUGAGAACAUCGGGCCGUGGUUUCCGCACGUCAGGCCGCCUGUGGCCUCCGCCAAGCGUCUGAGAGUGAAGCAUUGCUGACGCACUCCACGAGGUCCUGGCCAGACCCCACUCAGGACAUCCCGCUGCACAGGCCCCUGGUUGCUGGGUCAGCGCUGCCACCAGGCUCAGACUCACCCCAGGGCCCUCCUUGGGCCACCUUUCUCUGCCUCCUUGGUCAAGGCCCAGACCCAGGCCCCACCAGGCCCUGCCUCCUCACACUCGCGGCGGCCGCUGGGUCUUCUACCGCAUGGUGCCAGCUCCCUCUCCUCCGCUGCGGUGUCCUAGCCCAGCUCUCUCCCUGCCAGGCCCUCUGAAGUUCCACCCCCUGGCACUCAGCUCAUGGUGGGAACAGGACCAGGCUCUCCUGUUGCCAAGGGCAGUGAGAUGUUCGUAGCUUUAUUUCCCAGUACAUUGAUUUUACUGAUUUUAGUUUAUCUUCAGUUGAAUAAUUGUGUGUAUUGAUGGGGUUUAUGUUUUAUGGGGUUUGGCGUGAUGUUCUGAUGUAAGUAUUUGUUGCAGAAAGAUUCAAUUAAGCUAAUCAACAUAUCCAUCACCUCACCAACUUGUUUUUUUUGUGGUGAGAACAUUACAAGUCUAUUUUCUAGCAAUUUGGUAUACAAUACAGUCAUCCCUCGGCAUCCUCAGGGAAAUUGGUUCCAGGACGCCGCUCUGAUAACAAAAUCCGAGGAUGUUCAAGUCCCGGAUGUGAAAUGGCCUAGAGUUUGUACAGAGGUUGCACACGCACCCCCAGGACUUCAAAUCAUCUCCGAUGACUUAGCACCCAGUGCAAGGCAAGGCCAUGAAAACGGCUGUUCUACUGUAUUGUUUUACAUUCUUAUUCUUAUUUUUAAUUUAAAACUUUUCCCACAUCAUAAAUCCUCGGAAG
rnacentral:lncRNA from 1 species